rnacentral:rRNA from 1 species
GCGAGGUCGACGCCGAGCUGCGCCUGGAGCUGGCGCACGACGGCGUCGGGGGAUAUCCCGGCCCCGGCGGCGCCGGGGAGCGCGGCAGCCUGGCGGACGAAGGACUCGACGUAGCGAGCGAGCUCCUGGUCGGACACCAUCGGGGCUCGGGGCGGAGACGGCGGCGGACUCUCGUCGCCUUUUUUUGAAAUGGGGAAUCGCUCCGCUCUCGGGUCCGGGCGGG